UCGUUUGACGUUAGCUGCAGAAGAAGCACCGGCUAACUCCGUGCCAGCAGCCGCGGUAAUACGGAGGGUGCGAGCGUUAAUCGGAAUUACUGGGCGUAAAGCGCAUGCAGGUGGUUUGUUAAGUCAGAUGUGAAAGCCCGGGGCUCAACCUCGGAAUAGCAUUUGAAACUGGCAGACUAGAGUACUGUAGAGGGGGGUAGAAUUUCAGGUGUAGCGGUGAAAUGCGUAGAGAUCUGAAGGAAUACCGGUGGCGAAGGCGGCCCCCUGGACAGAUACUGACACUCAGAUGCGAAAGCGUGGGGAGCAAACAGGAUUAGAUACCCUGGUAGUCCACGCCGUAAACGAUGUCUACUUGGAGGUUGUGGCCUUGAGCCGUGGCUUUCGGAGCUAACGCGUUAAGUAGACCGCCUGGGGAGUACGGUCGCAAGAUUAAAACUCAAAUGAAUUGACGGGGGCCCGCACAAGCGGUGGAGCAUGUGGUUUAAUUCGAUGCAACGCGAAGAACCUUACCUACUCUUGACAUCCAGAGAACUUUCCAGAGAUGGAUUGGUGCCUUCGGGAACUCUGAGACAGGUGCUGCAUGGCUGUCGUCAGCUCGUGUUGUGAAAUGUUGGGUUAAGUCCCGCAACGAGCGCAACCCUUAUCCUUGUUUGCCAGCGAGUAAUGUCGGGAACUCCAGGGAGACUGCCGGUGAUAAACCGGAGGAAGGUGGGGACGACGUCAAGUCAUCAUGGCCCUUACGAGUAGGGCUACACACGUGCUACAAUGGCGCAUACAGAGGGCGGCCAACUUGCGAAAGUGAGCGAAUCCCAAAAAGUGCGUCGUAGUCCGGAUUGGAGUCUGCAACUCGACUCCAUGAAGUCGGAAUCGCUAGUAAUCGUGGAUCAGAAUGCCACGGUGAAUACGUUCCCGGGCCUUGUACACACCGCCCGUCACACCAUGGGAGUGGGCUGCAAAAGAAGUAGGUAGUUUAACCUUCGGGGGGACGCUUACCACUUUGUGGUUCAUGACUGGGGUGAAGUCGUAACAAGGUAGCGCUAGGGGAACCUGGCGCUGGAUCACCUCCUU
rnacentral:rRNA from 1 species